UUGAUGAGAUGGGAUGCGAAAUAGUGAUGUGCAGUUUCCCAAAACUUAGGAUGCGGGGUCACAUGGUGUGACCCCGGUGAGAAAGAGAAAACACAGAAAAAAAUAUCAAGCUGUCUCGACUAUGACUAGAGUCAUCCUCUCACUGCCUUAACACCUCGACAACGAUCGAAUCUCCGACAAUGUUUCAGACAAUAUCCAGCCAAGUAGGGUUUAAAUGUUUCCAUUCAACUGCAGAAAGUCUCAAGUUAAGAAAGAUUGGAAGCGAUUCUCUGCCCCUUGGUCUCUUCGGUUUAAUUCUGACUCUUUUGAACUGUGGAGUUUGGACUUCUCUGAUCGUCCAUAGCUUCCAAAGGCCAGUUGAUGGCAUGGGAAUAGGGGUAAGUCACCUCUCAUUCCCUUAGUUCUGAAUCAAAUAACCCAAGUUAAGCUUCAUAGUUUCAUUUUUCUGUAUUUGGUUCGUAUAUGAUUUUGUUUCUUUGAAGUAAUUCAUGAAGCUCUCUCUAUUUAUGCUUAAUUAUGACGUAUCUAUAUUCUGUGGUAUUGUUUAACUUUGUUUAGUUACUUUCAAUUUAUUCCAUGCCUUUUGAAUAUCUUGCUUUAUAGCUGAUGGGAGUUCUUUUUAAUUCAGAUUUUAGCGAAGCCUAGGUGAAAAUUUUAUUUUAAUUUCACAUUCUUUAGCGUUCUUAGGGAUAUUCAACUCUUGGUUGUUUGUUAGUUGGGUUUAUUCUUCCAAACUCUUUAGUUGUGGUCUUUCCUAGUUGGAAUUAUACAAGGGAUCCGAUUUGGGUUUAGUUCUUUGGUUAAUAAGUGAUGAGUGGUCAAAAUUUUGAGUCUAUUGGUUGUCAUUAAUGUGCCAUGAAUACCUUGCUUGAAAACUUGUGGGAGAUCAUAAAUUAGAUGUGAAUGAAAUUAGAUGCUCUAUAUAUUUGAUGUGAAUGAAAAAAAAAACCAUCACAAAUUAGAUGUUCUAUAUAUUUGAUGAAAAUCAAGGCAAGACCAUAGUAGCAAUUUAGCUAGUAAGGUCUGACCAGAAGUGCCAGAAUGAAUUAGUAGCCUCUUUAAUAUCAACACAAAGCAAUAUCCGCUUGGGAAAUAGGCUACAAAAUUUUCUCAUCAACCAAACACUGAGAACCAAAUUCUGUAGGAUAAUAUGUCUCAACAAACAAACACGGAGUGCCAAAAUAAAAAAAUAGAUUUUCCUUUCUCAUCCCAUCCCUUCUCAUUCUAUUGUUUCUCGGCAACCAAAUGGACCAUUAAGUAAAACGAACACAUGAUCCAAUCAUACGUGAGAGAAAGGGUAGACUAGUAAUUUAUCACAAAGAACAUAACCAGACUCAAAGAAACCCCAGCACCCCUUCAUUCUUUCGUUGUUCUUCGUUGUUUCUCUACUUGACAUAUCUCCUCUACAACGGUAGAAAGAAUCUUCUCAGUUGGUGAUCGAUCUCUCCUGUACCACAAUUAUCCUUCAUUUUCAAUAUAAAAAAAAAAGCUUUUUUUGUUGCUACAAAGUCUACAAACCAUUCAUCCAAAACAGAGAGAUCCAUCUUCUUCUUUUUUUGUAGCAAUAUAUACCCACACCCAACUCACCUCGCCCGUUAAUAGGUAAGUUCAUAUGGUUUGUAAACUAAGAUGGCAAUUGAGAUUUCAAAAGCCUUAAACCUCUUAUUUUCUAGCAGUAUAUACCCACCUCUGUUGAUUUCUGAUACUGAUGAAGGUUCUCUAAUGGGGCCCUAUUCGAAUCCAAUAACAACUGAGAUAGUGAUUGUAAUACAUGGCCAAGGAAUGGAUCACAUAGUUUGCUCGAGCCCUACAAGCGAGUCGGACUGCAAAAAUAAGUGGUUUAAGGUCAUAGAGAGAAAUGUCUUUGCCAUUUCACCUUUCCAUCUUACAACCCAAAUUUUGUUCAAUAACAAUUUGUUUGUUAUCAUGGGAUUCAAUACAAUGGCAAAGAAAAACCACCUUGAGUUCCUAGGUGGGAAAAGCUAAAUUUCGGAGACUUGAUGAUAUCAGAUUGCACACCGUGCGUAGAGGAGAAAGAAGUUGCAAUGUAGGAGGACAUUCAAAAGGAAAGGCAUGAAUAGGAGGUGGAACAAAGGAAGAGAGUGGAGCAAAAGCAAGAGGGAGAGACAAAGGAGGAAGAGGAGGGACAACGGAGGCAGGGAGAGGAGGAACAGAGAAAGCGAGAGAAGCAAGAGGCAAAGAUACAGGAGGAAGCAAAGAGAAGACAAAAGCAAAGAUGGAGAAGGCAGGGACAGGGGGAAGAGAGAAAGAAUGAGGAGGAAGAGGGUGGGGAACAAGAUCAACAAGAGCAAGAGGUAGAUUCAGAGUUCUCAAAAGAAAAAGAUUAGAGAGUCACGCACUAGCCACCUGAACUAUUACCAUAUUACCAUCUAUCUAGUGAGUGUUAAAUAAAAUAAAAGGCAUUUGAACACUCUAAGAAGGUAGAGUGUUUGGGUCAAGUUUUGAAUUUUUCUUGCAUUAACUGGGUCAUUGGCAAAAAGUCCAAUGGGGAUGAUGUAGUGGGUAAGAAGAAAUGCCUAGUUGAGACACAUUCCAUCAUGUUAUCUGCUAUUGUCUCUUUAAGAAAUGAAUAUUUGAGCUUGAGAAGGCUCAAAAUCUGGAUCUGCAUUAAAAAUA